GCCCUGGUAGCCCGGUGGAAGAGUACUGCGGUGGCGUCGCGGAGGUCGGAGGUGCGAAUCCUUCCUCAGGGCC
rnacentral:tRNA from 1 species